rnacentral:rRNA from 1 species
GGCGACCGGCGCACGGGUGAGUAACGCGUAUCCAACCGUUCCCCAUAGUAGAGAAUAGCCCGGCGAAAGUCGGAUUAAUGCUCUAUGUUGUAUCAUGAGGACAUCUGAAUAAUACCAAAGGUUCACCGCUAUGGGAUGGGGAUGCGUCUGAUUAGGUUGUUGGCGGGGUAACGGCCCACCAAGCCCACGAUCAGUAGGGGUUCUGAGAGGAAGGUCCCCCCACAUUGGAACUGAGACACGGUCCAAACUCCUACGGGAGGCAGCAGUGAGGAAUAUUGGUCAAUGGACGGAAGUCUGAACCAGCCAAGUAGCGUUGCAGGAUGACGGCCCUAUGGGUUGUAAACUGCUUUUAUACAGGGAUAAAGUGAGGGACGUGUCCCUUUUUGUAGGUACUGUAUGAAUAAGGACCGGCUAAUUCCGUGCCAGCAGCUGC